CACGUAGGGUGCGAGCGUUGUCCGGAAUUAUUGGGCGUAAAGAGCUCGUAGGCGGUUUGUCGCGUCUGCUGUGCAAACUCGGGGCUUAACCCCGGGCCUGCAGUGGGUACGGGCAGACUAGAGUGCGGUAGGGGAGACUGGAAUUCCUGGUGUAGCGGUGAAAUGCGCAGAUAUCAGGAGGAACACCGGUGGCGAAGGCGGGUCUCUGGGCCGUAACUGACGCUGAGGAGCGAAAGCGUGGGGAGCGAACAGG
rnacentral:rRNA from 1 species